UAUUAUUUUACUUGGGAGAGAAGCUGAGGCUGGAGUAGUAAUAGUUAUGAUCUUGAAACUCAAAGAAUUUGGCGGUAUUUUAGUCUUUUCAGAGGGAUCUGUCCUGUAAUUGAUAUUACACGUUUGGAUAACUUUAUUUUGUAAUCAGUUUGUAUACCGCCGUCAUAAGAAUAUCUUUAUAAAGGGGUGAAAUUUUCUGGAGGUAAAAAUAAAGAGGAUGUCAGGUCAAGGUGCAGCUAAUAGUGAAGUAGAGAUGGAUCACAAUAAUGUUAGUUACACGAAUAAAGUUAAAUGAAUGAUUUUUGAAGGUGGAUUUGAUUGUAAAUUUGUUUUAGAUGAUAAAUUGGUUUUGGCUCUAAAAUGUGUACACAUCGCCCGUCGCUCUCGUUAAAUAUGAG
rnacentral:rRNA from 1 species